AGAGCGCCGUCGACCCCACGCCACGCAGAGGUGAAGAUACGCAGGACGUCCUCUAAAGCAACUUCCGUGGGUGCCAGGUUGUGGGCUGGGGGCGGUGCUGACCUUGAGAGAGCGGAGGAGGCGCAGGCGCAGCACAGUUUAAACUUGAUUUUGUGAGGGGACGAACAGCGUGACAAUUAAAAGAAGAUCUGGGAAUCAUCCAAUGUGAUAAUUUAUGUGAAAUCUUUCUGCAAACUAUACAGUAUGAUAAAAAUAUAAGGUAGUUUCACUGGAAACAACAGAAGACUAGAAGCUGAUGUGACGUGGCAAUAUCAACCAGGAAUACCCAUCUCGAGUUCUGGAUAUGUGCUCUGAGAAGGUGCCCAUGUCACCGACCACACUGGAGGCCAAUGCAGAUACUGGGGGAAGGUUCCAUGGUAGCUAAGUGUGGACAAGCUAAUCACUGAAGUUCCCUGAUGCAGAGUUGAUAAUCUCUCUAGAGUUGGAUGAAAGACUGUGCUGCCUUGAAGCUCUGAGAGAUGCCAUGCCAAUUCAAGGCAGGGUCUUUAUUGUUGAAACUCUUGCGUAAUGACAUCUUUAUUCAGGUGAAAAUACAGGAUGAAUUUCAACUAUAUGAUAUUGUUUAUGUUCCUCAGACAUGUUAUUUGUCUUUACAAAGAUUGGUUUCAAUAAACUGUGUGACUGAUAUUAAAUAAACAUGGAAUUUUACACAUUCAUAAUAUUUGGUUUCU
rnacentral:lncRNA from 1 species